rnacentral:rRNA from 1 species
AGUGAACGCUGGCGGCGUGCCUAACACAUGCAAGUCGAACGAUGAUGGAGGAGCUUGCUCUUCCUGAUUAGUGGCGCACGGGUGAGUAUACCAUAGAUAAUGUACCCCUUAGUUCGGGAUAGCCACUGGAAACGGUGAUUAAUACCGGAUACUCCUUCUCGUUAUAAGACGAGUCGGGAAAGUUUUUUCGCUAAGGGAUCAGUCUAUGUCCUAUCAGCUAGUUGGUGAGGUAAUGGCUCACCAAGGCAAUGACGGGUAUCUGGUUUGAGAGGAUGAUCAGACACACUGGAACUGAGACACGGUCCAGACUCCUACGGGAGGCUG